UGCCUAUGUAUAACUUUGUCAACGUCCAUGUUUUUCCAUGUUCUAACCUCUGUCUUUUCACAAUAGCAGAAGUAUGUCUCAGAGAUUAAGAUAGUAAGCUGAACUGCUGAAGUAUCAGCUAUUUCUUGUCUGCAGAUAAAAAUUUCGCCAUGCAUGGCUUGUUCUUCGAAAUUCCAACCCCUAUGUCUUCUCGAUGCUCUAGCACUAAAUCAUGCACCUUGCUAGUUCUGUAUUUCCCCCCUUCUGUUUAACCCUUAUCUUUCUUAUAGUGGAUCUUAACUGACGAGUUCAUGAAUGACCAUGAUGUAACAUGCGCAUUUGCUUGCAUUCAUGCAGUGAUUGUUUCCAAGAUGGCCAGUGAUGAGGAUUCACUAGAUGAUCAAAACCCUAGAUCUUGGACCGUUAGCAACACUAGUGCUAUUAACAAGACAGAAGAAGCAUCCAGCAUGUUCUCGGUCCUGGAUCAUCACCCACAAAGAGCAGUAGUGAACUUCUUAAAGGAUGACAAUACCACCAAAACGAUCCAUGAGCAAUGGCAAGCAAAAGAUAAGGUUGCCUCGUAGCCUAUAAGCCGGUGUUAUCCCGACUGAGCUUUCUAUUAUCCCUAAACUCUCCCAUAUGCCUUUAGUUAAAUCAUUUUCUGGCCACUCCUCGUGCCAGAAUUAAUGUUCUUGACCUUGUAAGGCCUUUUCUUGACCUUGUAAGGCCCUCCCCUUAUGUUUCUCGUGCCGCCGGGUGUCUCCAACCUCACACUUUCUCCCCCCUUCUAUCCCUCCUGAGCUAUCUCCAUGCAUAUUUUGUCUAGCAAUCUAGAUGAGACAUGAGAGAUGAUAUUGAAUAAAAGUCUGUGGUAAAAUAAGUUUUUAUUUC